GAUGAACGCUGGCGGCGUGCUUGACACAUGCAAGUCGAACGAUUAAAGCCCCUUCGGGGGUGUAUAGAGUGGCGAACGGGUGAGUAACACGUGGGCAACCUGCCCCUCACUUCGGGAUAACUCAGGGAAACCUGAGCUAAUACCGGAUACUCCGGGAUGGUCGCAUGGCCGACCCGGGAAAGUUCCGGCGGUGAGGGAUGGGCCCGCGGCCCAUUAGCUUGUUGGUGAGGUAAUGGCUCACCAAGGCGACGAUGGGUAGCCGAGCUGAGAGGCUGAUCGGCCACACUGGGACUGGGACACGGCCCAGACUCCUACGGGAGGCAGCAGUGGGGAAUCUUGCGCAAUGGGCGAAAGCCUGACGCAGCAACGCCGCGUGCGGGAUGAAGGCCUUCGGGUUGUAAACCGCUUUCAGCAGGGAUGAAACUGACAGUACCUGCAGAAGAAGCCCCGGCUAACUACGUGCCAGCCGCCGCCGUAACAC
rnacentral:rRNA from 1 species